rnacentral:rRNA from 1 species
CAGCAGCCGCGGGAAUACAGAGGGUGCAAGCGUUAAUCGGAAUUACUGGGCGUAAAGCGCGCGUAGGUGGUUCGCCAAGUUGGAUGUGAAAUCCCCGGGCUCAACCUGGGAACUGCAUCCAAAACUGGCGAGCUAGAGUAUGGUAGAGGGUGGUGGAAUUUCCUGUGUAGCGGUGAAAUGCGUAGAUAUAGGAAGGAACAUCAGUGGCGAAGGCGACCACCUGGACUGAUACUGACACUGAGGUGCGAAAGCGUGGGGAGCAAACACGAUUAGAUACCCGCGUAGUCCCUGUCUCUUAUAC